GACGAGCGCUGGCGGUGUGCUUAACACAUGCAAGUCGAACGGUAAGGCCCUUUCGGGGGUACACGAGUGGCGAACGGGUGAGUAACACGUGAGUAACCUGCCCUCAUCUCUGGGAUAACAGUCGGAAACGGUUGCUAAUACUGGAUAUGAGCUUGCAAGGCAUCUUGUGGGUUGGAAAGAUAUUUUUUGGUUGGGGAUGGACUCGCGGCCUAUCAGCUUGUUGGUGAGGUAGUGGCUCACCAAGGCUUCGACGGGUAGCCGGCCUGAGAGGGCGACCGGCCACAUUGGGACUGAGAUACGGCCCAGACUCCUACGGGAGGCAGCAGUGGGGAAUAUUGCACAAUGGACGGAAGUCUGAUGCAGCAACGCCGCGUGCGGGAUGACGGCCUUCGGGUUGUAAACCGCUUUCAAUUGU
rnacentral:rRNA from 2 species